UACGAGGGGGGGCAAGCGUUGUUCGGAAUUAUUGGGCGUAAAGAGCGCGCAGGCGGUAUGACAAGUCAGAUGUGAAAGAGGCCGGCUUAACCGGCAAGGGUCAUUUGAAACUGUCAGACUAGAGUGCAGCAGAGGAUAGUGGAAUUCCCGGUGUAGUGGUGAAAUGCGUAGAUAUCGGGAGGAACACCAGUGGCGAAAAGCGGCUCACUGGACCAUAACUGACGCUGAUGCACGAAAGCUGGGGGGAGCGAACAGG
rnacentral:rRNA from 1 species